UCUGCGCAGCGCCGCAUGAAGUCGAUCACGCUUGUUUUAGGAGCACAGAAAUGGAUUACAGCGGAUGGCUCAACAGAACAGUUGUUUGAGUGAUGUGACAGAGAAAGAGGUAGACAACAAAAAGUCAAAAUCAUGUUACUGUGAUUCAUUAUGAGAGGGCUUUCAUAUCUGGCUGAAAGGCUCAUGUCAUGUUUUACCACUUCUAAAAGAGUCUGAAACAUUGCAAGACAUGACGAUAGGCAGCAAGUUUGGUCAGUCUCUGGGGCAUCACCCUCAAUUCACCCUUCCUCAGGCAGCCUGGUGCUCAUUUAAACUGCAUCCUAAACCAUUAGUUAGGCACUGAUAAGAAGUCUACUGAGAUGUAAAUAAUGGCUGACAGUAAUGAUGAACUGUCUGUAAACCCUAUAAAGGGAUAGACAUUUCUGAUAACCUGUUUAGAUCUUUAAGAAAAGCUCUCAUAUUGACCUUAUAAUAAACAAAUACUGUUCAAAGA